rnacentral:tRNA from 1 species
GGGGCCAUAGCUCAGUUGGGAGAGCGUCUGGCUGGCAGCCAGAAGGUCACGGGUUCGAGUCCCGUUGGCUCCA